CUUUCUACCUCCCCUGAUUAUCCCUUACUUGAUUCUCCUGCUAUAGGCAAAUUCAUAUGUUUCACACCAUAAUAUGAUCUCAACGUAGGUCCCAAGCCUAACCCUUUCACAUGUCCAUUAUGUUUAGGACCCAUGAUGUCGACCGCCAAUUUGGCCGGUUCGGGUACGUCGAUCAGACGCCGAACGGACAGAGUCUUCCCUAUCCGCCCAAGGCUAACAACAACAAGAUCAUGUACUUAACAGUUGCCCAAGAAACAUGAACCACAUACAUGAUCUAGCAAGUACAAUACAAUCAAUGACAAGCAAAAGAGAAAAAGAUCUAACUAUUAUAAUUUCAUUCAACAUAUACAUCGAGUUUACAUUUUUCAUCUCCAAAAUGUAUACAUGUUUAUCCACAACUCUCCAAAAUACAUAUACAUCAAGUCCUCUCAUCUAUACAAGGUGUACUAAUACU
rnacentral:lncRNA from 1 species